rnacentral:siRNA from 1 species
GACGCCCGGAGCACGCUGAUGCCG